rnacentral:lncRNA from 1 species
AAUUAAUCCACUAUUCAUUUUUCGGACUAAUUUCAAAUACCUCUUCCUCCUAAAAGCCUAAUUGGAAAUUAUAUAGCCUUUCUAGAUUUCUCAACUGUCCUAUUUCUUUUUCUAGGACAUAUGCUACACUCUAUAUUAUUGUUAUAGUUUAUAGUCAUCACAUUUCUUACUAUGGGAUUAAGUUAUUUGAGAAUAGGAAUUCUUCCUUACUCAUUAUGUACAACAAUCAAAUCUAUUUUGUUAGAUGAAUGUUGAAGUAAACUUAAAUUUCCACUUCCCUUCUCAACCUCAUUAAAGUACCUAUGCAUUUUAUGUGUAACUUAACCAAUGUAUCAGCUGAAAAAAUAUUGUCUAUGAUUGGUGUAAUUCUUCAACUCACCCAGUAAAAACUAUAGACAAAUGUAAGAAUUAUAAUUAGUUUAUUAGUUCAUGUUAAUCUAUUAAU